GCAAGCCAGGAAGGAGGCUGGCAGAGCUCCCUGCAGCAGACCCUCCCUGCAGCAGACCAGACCAUCCAGCACAGCUUUUGCAAGCUGCCAUGGAUAUCACAGAUCAACACUUCAGGCUCAAGCAGACAGAGAUACGUUUUUUAAAAAUCCUGGUUUAAUCACAGAUGACAACAGUGAGAUGACAACAGAGAGAUGACAACAGAGAGAUGACAACAGUGCUACCAAAAAUGAAAAAUACUCAUGGAAUCCCAUAGGAAAGACCUUGGAUUACUUUGGUGCAGAUUAGGUUUUUCUACCGUGUUUCUUUUUAGACUGUGAGCCUUUUGGAGACAGGGAACCAAAGAAUAUUGUUAUUCUUUUUAAAAUUUAAACCGUUUUGAGAACUGUUCAUUGGGAAGCCAAGGGGCAGCUUCCGACGAGUCCUUGGCUCCACUUACUCACGCCACGAAAGGCCAAGCAAGUGGCUCGGGAGGCAUACAGGUGCUUGCCCAAACCCAAAGCAGAAGGACUGUUGACAUGGCCGACCACUGGGCUGGGCGACUCCUCGGGCGCUUUCUUGCCCGAAAGUGCCACAGCAGCUCCAGCUGGCCCCAGACGAGUCUCUCCUGGUAAUCCCGGCUCCCUCCCUACUUUCUGAGAGCGGGCAGCCCAGCACCUGCCCAGCUGGCCGCGCGGAGCCAGCAACCAAAGUAAGGCACGCCCGGCGGACCUUAGAAACGCUGGAGGAACACCUGAACAGGCUGCGUAGAAGAGGAGGAGGAGGCCGCCGGACUGCAGCCAAAGAAGUAUCUUCGGAGGGAGAAGAGCGAGCCCGGAGUGGAGCAGCGAUUCGUUCGGGGUUGUAUUGUGCAAGAAAGCAACAAGUGACAGGAGCCAUGCGUGUGGAUGUAACUGGCUCUCUCCUUUUCCCAAAUCCAGCAACAGGAAGCCCAACGUUGUUUGUUUACUCAGAAGGAAGUUCCACUGAGUUCAAUGGGACGCCUCAAUCAUAAAAUGUGUAGCCACAUGCAACCCUUUAAGUCCUCCUAAACGUAGUGGAUUUGGCUCCAGUUAGUGUGCAUAAAAUUUUGCAGCCUUCACCUGAAGAGAUGGAUAUACAUAUUGAACGUUAGAAGCAGCCCAGUCCUGCUUACUCAGAAAUGAAUCCCACUGUGUUUAACUUCAGUAGAUUUACUUCCAAGAAAACACACAGAACUGUAACCUUAGGCUGUCACUUUCUUCCUUUGGGGCUUCUGUGCUCAUUUUAUUGUAUUGUUUAUUUUAAAUAAAUCUUAUUUUUAAUUAAUUAAUUAAUUAAUUAAUUAAUUAAUUAAAAAAGAGAACUGUUCAUUAAAAAGCAGUGGUAGUAGUAGUAGUUUUGUUUUUAAGAGCUCAGAAUACACAGAGUCACUUGCCUUCUUUGUUUAACUGUACUUCAAGUCAGUAGUGAUGUGCACAAACCGUUUCGGAGGCCAUUAUAGAGGCCUCCAAACUGGUUUGGAUGUGGCCUGGUCUGGUGGUCUGGCACCGGGGGAAAGGAUGUC